rnacentral:rRNA from 1 species
CCUACGGGAGACAGCAGUGAGGAAUAUUGGUCAAUGGCCGAGAGGCUGAACCAGCCAAGUCGCGUGAGGGAAGACGGCCCUACGGGUUGUAAACCUCUUUUGUCGGGGAGCAAAGCGAACCACGUGUGGUUUAUUGAGAGUACCUGAAGAAAAAGCAUCGGCAAACUCCGUGCCAGCAGCCGCGGUAAUACGGAGGAUGCGAGCGUUAUCCGGAUUUAUUGGGUUGAAAGGGUGCGCAGGCGGAGGUGCAAGUCAGCGGUAAAAUUGCGGGGCUCAACCCCAUACUGCCGUUGAAACUGGAUGCCUUGAGUGCGCGAGAGGUAUGCGGAAUGCGUGGUGUAGCGGUGAAAUGCAUAGAUAUCACGCAGAACUCCGAUUGCGAAGGCAGCAUACCGGCGCGCAACUGACGCUCAUGCACGAAAGCGUGGGUAUCGAACAGGAUUAGAUACCCCAGUAGUC